rnacentral:lncRNA from 1 species
GAGAUAAUUGCCUCAUAGCUAUAGGAACUUUUAGAGCUUAGCAAAAAUAUAGUCACUAGACAGGUUACUGAGACAUUUAGGAUCCUUUCAGAGGGCCUAGAGUUAUUUUGUAGAUCUGUAGAGCUCAGUGAAGACAAAGUGGGUUGGGAAGACAUAUGUAGAUUUAUUGCUUGAGGUGAGUAUGGAACAUUGGCUCCCUGGUAACAGUGGCUGAAUGCUGAGCAUGGGGAGGGAACACAGCUAUGGAUGUGCAUGCAAAAUU